GACGAACGCUGGCGGCGUGCUUAACACAUGCAAGUCGAACGGAAAGGCCCUGCUUUUGUGGGGUGCUCGAGUGGCGAACGGGUGAGUAACGCGUGAGUAACCUGCCCUUGACUUUGGGAUAACUUCAGGAAACUGGGGCUAAUACCGGAUAGGAGCUCCUGCUGCAUGGUGGGGGUUGGAAAGUUUCGGCGGUUGGGGAUGGACUCGCGGCUUAUCAGCUUGUUGGUGGGGUAGUGGCUUACCAAGGCUUUGACGGGUAGCCGGCCUGAGAGGGUGACCGGCCACAUUGGGACUGAGAUACGGCCCAGACUGCUACGUGAGGCAGCAGUGGGGAAUAUUGCACAAUGGGCGGAAGCCUGAUGCAGCAACGCCGCGUGCGGGAUAACGGCCUUCGGGUUGUAAACCGCUUUCGCCUGUGACGAAGCGUGAGUGACGGUAAUGGGUAAAGAAGCACCGGCUAACUACGUG
rnacentral:rRNA from 1 species